rnacentral:rRNA from 1 species
GAUGAACGCUGGCGGCGUGCCUAAUACAUGCAAGUCGAGCGAACAGAUAAGGAGCUUGCUCCUUUGACGUUAGCGGCGGACGGGUGAGUAACACGUGGGUAACCUACCUAUAAGACUGGGAUAACUUCGGGAAACCGGAGCUAAUACCGGAUAAUAUUUCGAACCGCAUGGUUCGAUAGUGAAAGAUGGUUUUGCUAUCACUUAUAGAUAGACCCGCGCCGUAUUAGCUAGUUGGUAAGGUAACGGCUUACCAAGGCGACGAUACGUAGCCGACCUGAGAGGGUGAUCGGCCACACUGGAACUGAGACACGGUCCAGACUCCUACGGGAGGCAGCAGUAGGGAAUCUUCCGCAAUGGGCGAAAGCCUGACGGAGCAACGCUGCGUGAGUGAUGAAGGUCUUCGGAUCGUAAAACUCUGUUAUUAGGGAAGAACAUACGUGUAAGUAACUGUGCACGUCUUGACGGUACCUAAUCAGAAAGCCACGGCUAACUACGUG